rnacentral:rRNA from 1 species
ACGAAAUAAAAAAUUAAAAAACUCCUGCGAGGUCUCGUGUUUAGUCCGGGUAGAACGCGUAAUACCCGGCGCGUCUAAGGGUUCGGACUAGAAGUCGCCCACCGACGGUCGCCCGAGCCUCCGAGGCGCUGCUGCGCCGGCCGCCUCCUCGGCGUCGCGAUGAUGCUGACCAUGCCCAUGCGACGGCCGAGAGCAGCACAGCACAGAGAGGCCUCUGUUGAGGAAAACGAAGAGGGGGGGAUAGCGGCCCUCGAUCCGAUGCUGGCGUGCGCGCGGUGCAGAGCGAGCGUGGGCAGGGGGGAUCGGCGGCUACUCGACGGCGCGCCGAGGUACCCCGGCGGGCAGCCGGGGGGCGCCGGCCGGGAAGGGGCGGAGCCGCGCGGAGGCGCCGGGCAAGCCCCCAUGCUUAAGCACCUUCUUAGGUCAGGAGUUUUUGAGCACCUCUUAGCCACUACAGGGCCGUUACAAACCCGACGGCAGACCUGACAAGUCUACGUACCGAAGUUCAUCGAGGCCCCUACCACCCAAGAGAGCAGGAGUUAGUUAACUACUUCGUGGCUAAGGCGACAUGGGGACCGGCCUGUUCGUCGCCGGUGCUCAUACGUAAAACCCACCACCUAAACCACCCGACAUAUGACGAGACUCUGAUCUUAGAGAACAUACCGGACCAUUAUUGUUCGGAGUCCACUACGACCAACUAGUUAGACUUUCUAAACAUAAAUUCGGGUACAACAUACUCGAGAAUAGUCCUCUCCACCUACAGACCCUUUAUCGAGGCAUAAAAUGUCUCGAUGACUUCUUGUGAUCACAAGUUAAACACUUCCUAUCACAUUUCGAAGAAGCGGGAAGACUAGUGAAUUCUUCUCUCGGACCUCAUAGUACGUGACCACCUCAACAAGUAGAACUUUCACCGUGGCAACAACUUAUACUAACCGAGCAAGAUCGAGAUCCCCGACUUCGAUUCUAACUGCAGCAAGGUCCUAGACGGCUUAUACGUGAAGGAAAGUGUUGAAACCUUGUACGAAACUUUCAACUUUCACUUAACUUUUACAAUCUUUCCUCUUUCAAACCAUUCUUCAGGGGUGGAUAAGUCCACCGGUAACACCCUGACCCAAUGAGACCACAACUCGAUCGACGGUGAUAGAGACUCUCUAAUUUCUUGUGUCCCUGACAGUUUCGUUAGUUAAAAGUUUGUUGGUAGACAGGAUUGCGUGGUGGUCCUUUAGCACUUCGACGAGACUUCCAAGAACUCAGAGUUUUAUAGGUUGAAAAGAACCCUAUAAGCCACUUGACGUAGUCUCUCCAAAUACGUAGACUCCUAAGUCCAUCGUACCAACGUCUACGUUUUCUUCGACCACCACCGCUAUUCUUUGAUCAAAACCUUGAAGUUCGGCGAGUUUCUCCGGAGGUCUCGGUCCAAGACCUUCGACUAGACCAUAAUACCUGUCACCCAAGUGUUAGAGUCUAAGAAGCCAAUGUUGGAGGACUACGGGGUAUGCAAUAAGGAAACUUACCGGCCCCCGUUCAUCUCUGUCUCCUUUGGGAAGUUCAUUUCCCGGUAGGGGCCUGUAAACGUUAACCACUAAGUCGUCGAGAUUCUCUGGGUAGUCCUUUUAAAGAGGGUCGGUUGCGUGUCCAACGAAAAGUCGUUCGUCUAAAGCGACCAACCUUAGAGACCCGCCGUUAGUUACUGGCCGGGGAAAACGGCAAGUCCAAGGUUUUAGAACCACUCUACUACUGUGACCCAUCUUUGCUACGGCGCUAUUGUCGUUUGAAGUAGCUCCCUGACUGGAACCUUCCCGGGUAUCCCGUACGACGAUCCUUCGAUCACAUGACGGAGUCCUACGGGUGACUACUCGUGGCCCACUUCCAACCUCAGUCAACCAACCGUUUCCCGCGACAGCUAAGCGAGCGGAGAGACGUCUUGCGUCAUUCAUUGUACUAACCUUCGAGGACUACCAUUUCCUUUGGACGAUUAAGUACUUAACCCGCUCGACCUACUACAUAAACUCUAAACAAAAUACAUCAUGCUUAAAAGUCAAAGCUCGAAUGCAACGUGGAUUGAAGACUUGUAUGCUUAAAACUUAUAUUCAUAACAAAAAAACACCCCUUUAUAAUCCAUAAAACGAGGACUUACAAAAUGCAAACACGACCGUGUAGCUAAAGGUAUUCAUAUCGUAAAACGUUUGACUUCUAGGGUUUCCCCCUUAACUUUAAGUGUGGACUAACGCUCAGGGUUAGGUUUUUGACAUUUUUUUUUUUUUUGAGUUGGCUCCAGUCACGGUUCAAGUCGUAUCACAGAACUUCUUUUUUCCAACGUAGCGUUCCUAACGUUUAACGUUACCUUCCAACACUAGAACCAACAGUGUAGUGUAGGAGAACGUCGUUGGCGUUUAAUAGUGCCACCUUAAUGAACGGUUUUGUAUCGCUGACUUUUGGAGGUUGGUGUGCCCCUCCUUUUUAGAGUCCCUCCACGGCAGCACGUUGCUAGUGCGAGUGUACAAACCAACCGCGUACCAACGGCACCAACCACUCUCAACUGACGCGCAAACAAUGCGGCCUAGCUCUUUGACGGUGAUGAUUUCAGGUGGAGGCAAACAACAACAUCCACCGGUGGCGUGAAAGGGGAGGGUGGCGAGGGGGGUGGUGGCGGCGGCUGCGGUUGCGGUGGUUGGCGGCGCGGUACCUAGGGCUGAGGCUCUAGCGGAAGCUGAAGGGCGGGAUGGAGACGGUCAUGUUCUCGCCGGCGCACGUGGCGGGCCCGCCGCUGCGGAAGCGGGGGCGGCCGUGGCUGGGCGAGUGGCCGCAGCAGAGGUUCCUGUAGGUGCGGCCGGGGCGGGCGCGCGCGCAGAUGGAGGGCGGGCUGCGGAGGAGGCGGCGCCGGGGGCCGUUCGAGGGGCAGCAGCAGAUGAAGGUGCCGCCGCCGAAGCACCAGCCGAGGGGCCGGGCGGGGAGGUGGGUGCGGAUGGAGUUGCUGGAGCAGCGGGCGAGGCCGCGGCAGCCGCACAGGCAGAUGAUGGCGGAGCGGGGGCUCGUGGGCGAGGGGCGGCGGAUGCUGCUGCCGACCCGCCGGCACGCGACCCAGGAGUGGCCGCCCCUGCCGCGGCUGGGGACCGACGAGCUGGUGCGGCUGGAGAGGGCGCAGAAGGAGAGGCCGACGUCGCGGCCGCGGUUGUAGCGCGUGUUGUACCGGCAGGCGCGGCGGCGCGGGCCGCGCGACGGGCUCCCGCGGCGGCAGGCCCCGGAGUACCGGCACGUGGGGAUGAAGUGCCCGUUCCUCGGGCACCCGCGCCUCCGGCGCAAGCCGGGGCUGCACGCGCUGAAGUACCUGGCGUGGACCGCGAAGCACAAGGGCCCGAGCGAGCCGGACCUGCUGGGGUUGCACUUGGGCAAGCACUGGCUGCUCCGCGCGCGGCGGCACCGGCCCUAGGGCACGCUCGCGCACGACCACACGCACCGGCUCCUGCUGCAGGACGAGUUCCUCGCGCCGGACACCAUGCGGGCGCUCGAGUUCCGGUCGCCGAUGCGGCCGCUCUAGCUCUACAAGCUCAGGUUCCCGCAGCCGGUGCGGAAGGUGAAGCUGGUCGACCCGAGGCCCCUCCCGCAGUUCGACGUCCUCGCGGACCACUUUAAGUAGUUCUUUACUCGCGGGCCACUUACCUAAGCCGUACCCUUAUUUUCUAAUUGAGCCUGCGAAACUAAAAAGCCUGUUAGAAACCUUUCAAACUCUACAUUACGCACGCACGUUUCAACAAACUACUAAGCAACCACUAAUAUUGUCUCGUAAAAGCUAGAACGAACCAGCUAAACCCGACUCUACUAAGAGUUGAGAGUUCCUUAGGACGUCUAGACCUCCGGGACUUGCUCGAAACAUCUAGUUAGCGGUAUUUCCUUGCUUUUGUCUAGACCUAGGAUGACAUGCCCAAUUGCCCACAGUAAACGAGGUCGGGCAGUUUAGACUACGAGGUGACAAACCGAUCAACACUCUCUUAAGGAAUAGACGGGUAAAAUUCACAAGAAAGGAUAAACCGGAUUAAAAAGGGAGGAAAACUGUGAUGUAUGUACAUCCAACACAAGAGAUACAACGUGAAAGUAGGUAAAACUGGCGGUUGUCAUUAUUCCCGGUCAAAAAACAUCGAAGAUCAUCGAACAACAAUUUUGUUCGGUUUUCGAGUUCUUGAGCAAAACCUCUUCGAUCGAGUUGAAUCCCGGGAUAAGUAAAAGGUAG